GGCUUAGGAUGAACGCUGGCGGCGUGCUUAACACAUGCAAGUCGAACGAGAACGCACCUCGGGUGCUAGUAGAGUGGCGAACGGGUGAGUAACACGUGAGCAACCUGCCUUCCACUUCGGGAUAACCCAGGGAAACCUGUGCUAAUACCGAAUACUCCGGGACCUCCGCAUGGGGGACCCGGGAAAGCGCAUACGGUGGAAGAUGGGCUCGCGGCCCAUUAGGUAGUUGGUGGGGUAACGGCCUACCAAGCCCGCGAUGGGUAGCCGGGUUGAGAGACUGAUCGGCCACAUUGGGACUGAGAUACGGCCCAGACUCCUACGGGAGGCAGCAGUGGGGAAUAUUGCGCAAUGGGGGAAACCCUGACGCCAGCAACGCCGCGUGCGGGAUGACGGCCUUCGGGUUGUAAACCGCUUUCAAGCAGGGAAGAAAUUGACGGUACCUGCAGAAGAAGCUCCGGCUAAAUACGUGCCAGCCGCAGC
rnacentral:rRNA from 1 species